GACGAACGCUGGCGGCGUGCUUAACACAUGCAAGUCGAACGGAAAGGCCCUGCUUUUGUGGGGUGCUCGAGUGGCGAACGGGUGAGUAACACGUGAGUAACCUGCCCUUGACUUUGGGAUAACUUCAGGAAACUGGGGCUAAUACCGGAUAGGAGCUCCUGCUGCAUGGUGGGGGUUGGAAAGUUUCGGCGGUUGGGGAUGGACUCGCGGCUUAUCAGCUUGUUGGUGGGGUAGUGGCUUACCAAGGCUUUGACGGGUAGCCGGCCUGAGAGGGUGACCGGCCACCUUGGGAAUGGGAUACGGGCCAGACUCCUACGGGAGGAAGCAGUGGGGAAUUAUGCACAAAGGGCGGAAGCCUGAUGGAGGAAAGCCGGGUGCGGGAUGAAGGCCUUCGGGUUGUAAACCGCUUUCGCCUGUGACGAAGCGUGAGUGACGGUAAUGGGUAAAGAAGCACCGGCUAACUACGUG
rnacentral:rRNA from 1 species